CGACAGUUCGAAAACUGCGAUUCUCGGAAUCCAAAUAUUUUUGGAUAUUUCGUCUUUUUUUUACCGAUUAACUUUUACGUAUUCUUCGGAUCUUUAAAAAAUUGAAAAACACUUUUCCACGUUAAGCGUUUUCCUUCACGUUUUCUCCUAACGUAGCUAAACAAAUGAAAAGUACACAGCAGUACUUUUCGUCGUUUUUAUUUCGUCCGAUUUCUGCACGUUUUUUGAGAAAAACUU
rnacentral:lncRNA from 1 species